GCGCACGUGGCGGAAUUGGUAGACGCGCUAGGUUGAGGGCCUAGUGGGAGUAAAUCCCGUGGAGGUUCAAAUCCUCUCGUGCGCACAA
rnacentral:tRNA from 1 species